rnacentral:tRNA from 1 species
GUUUUUGUAGUUGAAUUACAACGAUGGCUCUUCAAGUCAUUGGUCUCAGUUAAAGUCUGAGCAGAAAUU